UACAGAGGUCUCAAGCGUUGUUCGGAUUCAUUGGGCGUAAAGAGCGUGUAGGCGGUCCGGUAAGUCGGCUGUGAAAGUCCAGGCUCAACCCUGGAAAGCCGGUGGAUACUGUCGGGCUCGAGUCCGGAAGAGGCGAGUGGAAUUCCUGGUGUAGCGGUGGAAUGCGCAGAUAUCAGGAGGAACACCAAUGGCGAAGGCAGCUCGCUGGGACGGUACUGACGCUAAGGCGCGAAAGCGUGGGGAGCAACAGG
rnacentral:rRNA from 1 species